CGGUAGUAGGGAAAACUCUAUAAAUAGGAAGGCAUUUCCUUCAUUCAAAAAGGACUUCUUCCCUUAAGAAAAAACACAAUUCUCUCUUCUUAUUUCUUAGUUUGAAAGCUCGGUUCAUAGAAGCGUUUGUAAGUAAGUUUUAUAGUUUGUAGUUUAUAAUUCAGUCAAGAGGAGAAAGGAGAAGGCAAAUGAGAUGCAAAAAUCCAUUUUGUAAUCUCAUUUGGAACUUAAAGCAUCCAAUCCUUGGAUGAAUGGCUCAUGCUCCUAACA
rnacentral:lncRNA from 1 species